rnacentral:rRNA from 1 species
UAAGGAAUAUUGGUCAAUGGACGCAAGUCUGAACCAGCCAUGCCGCGUGAAGGAUGAAGGUCCUCUGGAUUGUAAACUUCUUUUAUCUGGGACGAAAACGGGAUUUUUAUCUCAAUUGACGGUACCAGAGGAAUAAGCACCGGCUAACUCCGUGCCAGCAGCCGCGGUAAUACGGAGGGUGCGAGCGUUAUCCGGAUUUACUGGGUUUAAAGGGUGCGUAGGUGGGCUUAUAAGUCAGUGGUGAAAUCUCCGAGCUUAACCGGGAAACUGCCGUUGAUACUAUUUGUCUUGAAUAUUGCGGAGGUCAGCGGAAUAUGUCAUGUAGCGGUGAAAUGCUUAGAUAUGACAUAGAACACCAAUUGCGAAGGCAGCUUACUACACAAUCAUUGACACUGAGGCACGAAAGCGUGGGUAGCGAACA